GGACGGAGCUUCCCUUCCAACGGCUGCCGACGGGGAGGCAGAGCCACCGGCUCCACUGAGGGGCUGGGGCUCGGGCUCGGCUCCGGGUCCGCCGGCAGCGGGGGCCCGCUUUAACCUUCUCCGCUCUCCGGCUGGCUGAGGGGAGCUCGCCCGCCUCACCGCUGAGGGAGAGCGGAGCCCCCUUCUUCCCGCCCCGUGCUCCUUUAGCACCGCAAAGGGAGACCUUUCUCCUCCCAGCCGCUUCCCAGGAGGACUCAGGGAUCCCCCUGCCUUCCCCCCCGGUGCAGCCGGGCUCCCUGCCCUUUGCUCCCGGCAAGCGGCGGGUGAGUCAGGCGCCUCGCAGGCUCCGAGCAGGUGGGGACCGAAGCUGGCAAGGGAAAGGGGUGGGCAUUUUCCCUCCCUCCUCCUGCUGCCUUUCUCUCCAUAGGUGGUGGGGCUGGAGCGGGGUGAAGCCCUCCGUCCUGUCAGCCUCUCGCCAUGGCUGUCGGUGGGGCUGGGGUCUCGCUCCUCUUCAUGACCAGCGUCGUGGUGGCCGUGGGGCUGUGCAAGAGGCUGCUCCGCCGCCGGCUGUACUCAGACCGCCGCCUUUUCACCGCCCUCACGGAGCUGUUGAGCACCUUCCAGAUCUGUGCCUGCACGAACGAGCUCUGCCUGCUCGGCAACGUGGAGCCGAAGCCUCACGUCGCGCUCAGCCUCACCUACGGCUUCACCGUCCUUCACGGCCUGACUCUGACCGGCAGCGCAUGCAAUCCCUGCGGCACGCUGCAGCCCAUGUGGAGCGGUGGGAUAGCGCUCAAGACGGGAGGGCUCAAGAUCGCCGCUCAGUUCGUGGCUGCGGUGCUUGCCAGGGUGUUCGUGCGUUGUAUCUGGAGCCUGGGGAUGGCAGAGGCACAUUCUGGAGCCCUCUCGCAGGGCUGCAGCAGCCCCAUGCAGACUACAGUGAUGCAGGCGUUCUGCAUAGAGCUGCUCUUUUCUGCCGUUUUCCAGCUGACCUUGCUGCGAGCGGAGAGAGUUAACCCCAAAUACAGAGUCCAUCUGAUGGCUCUUCUCAUCACCAUGCUCGUGUAUGCAGGUGGAAAUCUCACAGGAGCAAUAUUUAACCCAGCAUUGGCUUUGUCAUUACACCCACACUGUUUCUAUGAGAAGUUUCUGAGUUACUCACUAGUAUAUUGGGUAGCACCGUCCUUGGGUACAAUACUUGUGGCUUUUAUAUGGGGUGAAAUCCUUCCCCGGAUCUCCUGAGCCAUCAAAUUCUGACACCAAGCAGUGACAUUGAAAUACACUUUCAACAUCUGCAGAUGUGAAGCUGCCAGAAAACUGCUGACCUCAACUUCUGCACCACCUUUCAGCUCUAUUUCCAGACUUCAUGUUUGAAGUCUUUGACUUCCAACUUGGUAUUCAAACACUUCUUUAGUAAUAGCACACUGGGAUCUUGAGAUACGUGCCACCAUUAAACCCUAGGAAUGUGAAGGACAGUUAAAACUCUGCAACUUUGUCACUUUAGCCAGAAGUGCCAUUUGCUGACCUUUAUUACAACAGUUUGCAAAGCUCAUUUUAGAGACAUACUCAGUCCUUGUAACGACUGCUGGAUUUCUUCCCGUAGAAGGCACCUGCAUAAAAAAAGCUGAAGAUUUCAUUCUUCUAUUGAUCUUAUCAUACUCCUCCUUGCAACACAGGAGAGGAAGAAAGGCUACACUGCUCCCUAGAAGAGGCCCCAUAGCUCUAUUCUAGAGACACCUUACACCGAUAUUAAGAGUCUGUAGGACCAGCACUGUUUUACCAAUAACUGAAUGCAGGUGGCCCAGGAAAUGGCUCCAUUGGACUUUGUGCUCUACAAGAAUGCACCAAACCCAAAGGACAUGGGCUCAGAAUCACAGUUGCUGAAGGAAUGGACUGAGACCUGCAGCACUGAGCUGGUUGUGAGAUACAAAAGAAAUCUUAGUUUAUUUCACAACAUUGUUAACGUGUGAUACAAAGACACAAAACAGUUCCCUCUUUCAGGACUUUACACUCUUAGUCCAUCUCCUCUCCCACCCAAACCCUGCUCUCAGAGAAAUAAAAGGGAUAGCACAGAACUGACCCCAGUCACUUAAGGGGCAUUACAUGUAGCUUUGCUUUCAGUCCCUGGCUGACCCUAUGUCCUUUUAGUCCAGCUUUGAAACGUUUCUAGUCCCAUUUUACCCACCUCAAUGAACAGGUACAAAAAUACAGGGAAUUCCAGGACAAUCUAAAAUUGUUCUACUUACAGUUGGAUUUCUCGAGUCCCAGAACUCCUACAAAGGCUUCUCUGAAUGCCCCCUGAUUAGCCCCAUUCAAGUGUUAGAUGCAAAGAGGUUUUAUUGGGUUGGUUGGUUGGUUCUGGCUGCUUAAAUAACCCCAUAGUGGUCACAAAUGUCAAACCCUGGUUUAAACAUCUAUAAAAGCAUUUUUAGACCUUAGAUGUCUGAAGCUUAGGUCAUUAAAAGAAAGGUUAACUCCUGAUAGUCACUGCCAUGCCUUCAGUUUUACAGCUUAUUCUGCAAGUGCCACAAGAGGAAUCUGAAAGAUACAAGACACCAAGUUUACACGAUUAAAAUAAAGGUUAUUUAUCUUUACAAA